UACGAAGGGGGCUAGCGUUGCUCGGAAUUACUGGGCGUAAAGCGCACGUAGGCGGCUUUGUAAGUUAGAGGUGAAAGCCUGGAGCUCAACUCCAGAAUUGCCUUUAAGACUGCAUCGCUUGAAUCCAGGAGAGGUGAGUGGAAUUCCGAGUGUAGAGGUGAAAUUCGUAGAUAUUCGGAAGAACACCAGUGGCGAAGGCGGCUCACUGGACUGGUAUUGACGCUGAGGUGCGAAAGCGUGGGGAGCAAACAGG
rnacentral:rRNA from 1 species